rnacentral:rRNA from 1 species
UUGAACGCUGGCGGCAUGCCUUACACAUGCAAGUCGAACGGUAACAGGUCUUCGGAUGCUGACGAGUGGCGAACGGGUGAGUAAUACAUCGGAACGUGCCCGAUCGUGGGGGAUAACGGAGCGAAAGCUUUGCUAAUACCGCAUACGAUCUACGGAUGAAAGCGGGGGAUCGCAAGACCUCGCGCGAUUGGAGCGGCCGAUAUCAGAUUAGCUAGUUGGUGGGGUAAAAGCCCACCAAGGCGACGAUCUGUAGCUGGUCUGAGAGGACGACCAGCCACACUGGAACUGAGACACGGUCCAGACUCCUACGGGAGGCAGCAGUGGGGAAUUUUGGACAAUGGGCGAAAGCCUGAUCCAGCAAUGCCGCGUGCAGGACGAAGGCCUUCGGGUUGUAAACUGCUUUUGUACGGAACGAAACGGUCUCUUCUAAUAAAGGGGGCUAAUGACGGUACCGUAAGAAUAAGCACCGGCUAACUACGU